AUUGAACGCUGGCGGCAGGCUUAACACAUGCAAGUCGAGCGAGCGGCGGACGGGUGAGUAAUUUAUGGGAAACUGCCUGAUGGAGGGGGAUAACUACUGGAAACGGUAGCUAAUACCGCAUACCAUCAGAUGUGCCCAUAUGGGAUUAGCUAGUAGGUGGGGUAAUGGCUCACCUAGGCGACGAUCCCUAGCUGGUCUGAGAGGAUGACCAGCCACACUGGAACUGAGACACGGUCCAGACUCCUACGGGAGGCAGCAGUGGGGAAUAUUGCACAAUGGGCGCAAGCCUGAUGCAGCCAUGCCGCGUGUGUGAAGAAGGCCUUCGGGUUGUAAAGCACUUUCAGCGGGGAGGCGUUACCCGCAGAAGAAGCACCGGCUAACUCCGUGCCAGCCGCCGCGGUAAUAC
rnacentral:rRNA from 1 species